rnacentral:rRNA from 1 species
AUUGAACGCUGGCGGCAUGCCUUACACAUGCAAGUCGAACGGCAGCACGGGUGCUUGCACCUGGUGGCGAGUGGCGAACGGGUGAGUAAUACAUCGGAACAUGUCCUGUAGUGGGGGAUAGCCCGGCGAAAGCCGGAUUAAUACCGCAUACGAUCUACGGAUGAAAGCGGGGGACCUUCGGGCCUCGCGCUAUAGGGUUGGCCGAUGGCUGAUUAGCUAGUUGGUGGGGUAAAGGCCUACCAAGGCGACGAUCAGUAGCUGGUCUGAGAGGACGACCUGCCACACUGGGACUGAGACACGGCCCAGACUCCUACGGGAGGCAGCAGUGGGGAAUUUUGGACAAUGGGCGAAAGCCUGAUCCAGCAAUGCCGCGUGUGUGAAGAAGGCCUUCGGGUUGUAAAGCACUUUUGUCCGGAAAGAAAUCCUUGGCCCUAAUACGGUCGGGGGAUGACGGUACCGGAAGAAUAAGCACCGGCUAACUACGUG